rnacentral:hammerhead_ribozyme from 1 species
AUCAAGCUGACGAGUCUCAAAUAAGACGAAACGCGCGUCCUGGAU